GGCCCGAACUUCUUCGGGAGGCAGCAGUGGGGAAUAUUGGACAAUGGGCGCAAGCCUGAUCCAGCCAUGCCGCGUGUGUGAAGAAGGCCUUCGGGUUGUAAAGCACUUUCAGUAGGGAGGAAAACCUGAUGGUUAAUACCCAUUGGGCUUGACGUUACCUACAGAAGAAGCACCGGCUAACUCCGUGCCAGCAGCCGCGGUAAUACGGAGGGUGCGAGCGUUAAUCGGAAUUACUGGGCGUAAAGCGCGCGUAGGCGGUUUGGUAAGCGAGAUGUGAAAUCCCCGGGCUUAACCUGGGAACUGCAUUUCGAACUGCCAGGCUAGAGUAUGGUAGAGGGUAGUGGAAUUUCCUGUGUAGCGGUGAAAUGCGUAGAUAUAGGAAGGAACACCAGUGGCGAAGGCGGCUACCUGGACCAAUACUGACGCUGAGGUGCGAAAGCGUGGGGAGCAAACAGGAUUAGAUACCCUGGUAGUCCACGCCGUAAACGAUGUCAACUAGCCGUUGGGACUCUUGAAGUCUUAGUGGCGCAGCUAACGCACUAAGUUGACCGCCUGGGGAGUACGGCCGCAAGGUUAAAACUCAAAUGAAUUGACGGGGGCCCGCACAAGCGGUGGAGCAUGUGGUUUAAUUCGACGCAACGCGAAGAACCUUACCUGGCCUUGACAUCCAGCGAACUUUCCAGAGAUGGAUUGGUGCCUUCGGGAACGCUGAGACAGGUGCUGCAUGGCCGUCGUCAGCUCGUGUCGUGAGAUGUUGGGUUAAGUCCCGUAACGAGCGCAACCCCUAUCCCUAGUUGCCAGCGAUUCGGUCGGGAACUCUAGGGAGACUGCCGGUGACAAACCGGAGGAAGGUGGGGAUGACGUCAGGUCAUCAUGGCCCUUACGGCCAGGGCUACACACGUGCUACAAUGGCGCGCACAGAGGGUUGCGAACCCGCGAGGGGGAGCUAAUCUCAGAAAACGCGUCGUAGUCCGGAUCGCAGUCUGCAACUCGACUGCGUGAAGUCGGAAUCGCUAGUAAUCGCGAAUCAGAAUGUCGCGGUGAAUACGUUCCCGGGCCUUGUACACACCGCCCGUCACACCAUGGGAGUGGAUUGCACCAGAAGUAGUUAGUCUAACCUUCGGGG
rnacentral:rRNA from 1 species